GAGAAUCACUUGAAAAUGGGAGGCGGAGGGGUUUCCUCCCGUCUCGAGAUCAAAAAGGUUGACAGGCGGGUCUAGUCUGAAGAAUCUGGCGAUGAAGAAGGGAAGAAGCACAGCAGCGGCAUCGUGGCUGACCUCAGUGAACAGAGCCUGAAGGAUGGGGAGGAGGACCCAGAAGAAGAACACGAGCUGCCUAUGAACAUGGAAACCAUCAACUGGACAGAGAUGCAGAGGAUGUUGAUUUGAAUCACUAUCGCAUUGGGAAGAUUGAAGGAUUUGAGGUACUGAAGAAAGUGAAGGCUCUCUGCCUCCGCCAAAAUUUAAUUAAAGGCAUUGAGAAUCUGGAGGAGCUACAGGAGAGCUGGAUCUUUACAACAACCAGAUCAAGAAGAUUGAGAAUCUGAAGGCGCUAACAGAGCUGGAGAUUCUAGAUAUUUCUUUUAAUCUGCUGAGAAACAUCUAAGGGAUUGACAAGUUGACACAACUGAAAAAACUCUUCUCGGUCAACAAAAUCAGUAAAAUUGAAAACUUAAGCAACUUACAUCAACUACAGAUGCUAGAGCUGGGAUCUAACUGCAUCCAGGCAAUCGAAAAUAUUGACACAUUAACCAAUCUGGAGAGUUUGUUUUUGGGGAAAAACAAAAUUACUGAACUUCAGAAUCUGGAUGCGCUCACCAACCUGACAGUCCUCAGUAUGCAGAGCAACCAGCUGACCAAGAUCAAGGGUCUGCAGAACCUGGUGAACCUGCGGGAGCUGCACCUCAGCCACAAUGGCAUCGAGUUUAUCAAGGGCCUGGAGAACAAUAACAAACUCAUCAUGUUGGACAUUGCAUCAAAUAGAAUCAAAAGGAUUGAAAACAUCAGCCAUCUAACAGAGCUGAAGGGAGCCUGGGGACGGUGUACCUGGAGCGGAACCCCCUGCAGAAGGACCCCCAGUACCGGAGAAAGGUCAUGCUCACCCUCCCCUCCAUGCGGCAGAUCGACGCCACAUUCAUCAGGUUCUGAAUCCUCCUUGCUCCUCACGGUGUCCCUGUCCUCGAAAGAACUGCCCAGCCACAGUUGUUUAACCCACCUGUUGCUCCUGAGGUCGUCACUGUAUCAACAGUCACAAACCCAACGGCAAUAAAGGCACUGACGAUAGCUGACGCAUGGUGCCACACACGUUUUCAGAUGCCAUUGCAAUUAAACCUUGCCACACAGUC